rnacentral:rRNA from 1 species
CACGUAGGGUGCGAGCGUUGUCCGGAAUUAUUGGGCGUAAAGAGCUCGUAGGCGGUGUGUCGCGUCGGCCGUGAAAACCCGCGGCUCAACUGCGGGCUUGCAGCCGAUACGGGCAGGCUAGAGUUCGGUAGGGGAGACUGGAAUUCCUGGUGUAGCGGUGAAAUGCGCAGAUAUCAGGAGGAACACCGGUGGCGAAGGCGGGUCUCUGGGCCGAUACUGACGCUGAGGUGCGAAAGCGUGGGGAGCAAACAGG